GCACCCUGAAAACAGGCUUGUAUUUUUUGGUACCUAGGUGGCCCAGAAGAACUUGUCAGGAAGCAAGCACCAAAUAGGUGGUAAAAUAGGCAGAGCUAUGGGGGAAGGUCAGUUUCAUGCUCCCUGGGCUUCUCAGUGACCUCCAAGAACCAAGAAACACCAGAAGAGGAGACUGAAACUGCCUCUCUCUUGCUCAUUCUUCAGUGCCAGAUCACAUCAGGCUGUAAGAUACCUGAGGACUGUUUGCAGACUGCUGGAAGACAGAGACGGAAUCACCUAUUGGUAGCAGAACCUGUCAGUCGAAGUUUGUGUUCGAUUCAGUGCAAGUCAUCUGCCUGGUGGGCCUAUCUGAUACUUGGAUCAAAGCUGAAGUGCAGUCAGAAGGAAAGAAGGAAGUGUUCAGAAGAAUUGAAACAAGGCUGGAUUCUCAGAAACACGAAGACAAAUCCAUUUCCUCCAGGCUGAUGCAACUCUGAAGAUGCCAGUGCAGUAACAGAAAAAUAAAUUCAAUUUGCAGACUCCUGUCAUCCUCCGGAUUUUUGGAUCAGUCUCUCAGCCUCAUUCAUUGCUUCUGAGAAUGAACUUCUAAACACCUGCUGUGGUCGAAACUGUUCUUACAUCAUCUCCUGAACACAGUGACUUCAAUCACAUGAAAUCAUGAGGUUAAUGCCACAGUCGAGACUUCAAAGCUGUUUCUGCAGACCUGAGCUGAUUUUUCUUUGAAAAUGCUACACUAGCUGCUAGUUCUUAACCAACAGAAGAAUUACCAAAGUUGUCAGUGUUCUGCUUAUCAUGCAAUACAAGAAGAUGGGAAAAUUUUCAAGCAGAACUGCAGUCUGGGUUGGGGUGGCAGUACCGUAGGAUGAGUUCUCCACUUAAUCUCAGAUUAGUUGUGAUUUUUGUCUUUUUAUAUAAAAUGGAGUUGAAUAUCCUUGUUCUGUAUUACCUACUUGAACCAGAUGACCUUUAAAAGGUCCCUUCCAACUCAACCUAUUCUAUGAUUCUAUGAAAUCGUUAGUUGUGCUAGAAAAGGGAUUCUCACAAGAAGAAAGUUGAUUACAGGGCUCACUAAUGAGGGUAAGAGAUCAGGCUGCAAGGGGAACUAUCUUCAGAGAGACACUUUGAGCAAUCUUUCAGAAGGGGGGAGACACUGAUACAUAUCUAAAUGAGUCUGAUAGGUUAUGUGCAAGAGCAGAAAACUUUCCUCUGACCAGAAAGUUCCCUCUGGUUCUGUGUUUCUGAGUUGUAGGACAAUGAAAUUCUUAAAUGUUAAUUAUGUAAGUAGCAACUGCGAUUAUCUCUUGAUCAAUAAUACUAAUUAUAGACUGGAUUCAUUGGAUGUUGCUUGUGACUGAAUAAAACCAGAAGAACAGACAAAUCUCUUCUUGUAAAAUAAGACUUCCAAAGGAAAAGCAAGUUUAUCUAGGCUUGGCUUUCAGAGGAGGCUUCACCCAAUUCCUGUUCAUUUGGGUAGCACCAAUGGAAUUAAUCCAGAGUAACACAUUUUAUGGAGUUCCUGUGAAGGUGAGAUCAGAAUCAGGUCCACUGUAUCCAGGUAGGUCCAAAGUAUGCUAAUUGUCAAUACUAAGAUUCUAAAACUUUCUUGGAUAAACUGAAACAUAGCUUUUAUUUCCCAUAAAGCUUCAUGAAUGUACAACAUAGUUCCUGGAUAGACGUCACAGCAGCUCCACAGUUAUUAAUUUACGGAUUUCUCACUGACCUUAGCUCAGCUCUGGGAAUGGUGCCAGCACAAUUACAGUAACUCUGAAUAAAGAGACAUAAAGCUUCUGGAUCUACCCUGAAAUUAUGCCAGAAUUUUCUCUUCCUCAGUGAUGGAAAGACGCAUUUCUUCGAUUGGUUUCAAAUAGUUCAGACUGCGUUAGCCAAAAGUAGAUUAUUUCCAGCAAAAUAAGGAAAACAAGAAAAUUGCCAUGCAGAUGUGUGCAUACACAAUACAAUACAUGUGAUCCACAGAUAAUCUUUGGGAAGUUUGUCCGAAGAAGGUGUAUGUUGGGAAACUGAGUCAAGGUGAUUUGAGCUAGUUACCUGGGAAAAAAAAUGGCAGAGUUGGGAAUAAAAUUCCAGGGGCAGAUGCUUGAUUCAGUAUUGUUUUCACUGAAUCACACUGCCUUCCUGGAGCACAUCAAGGCCCAUUGACUUCCUUCCUGUGAAGAUGGGCAGCUGGAUUGCAAUGACAGCAGGUGGAGCUGAGUGUGAUCAUCACCUUGGAAAAUCAGGCCCCUGGUGAUUAUCCCUGGUGUUAAUUGACUGUCAGACCCUGCAAGAGGGGAGUCAACACAUUUCCUGACCUAUGGUCUAAGUGUUUUCCAAACCCUAGAGUAAAUUGAAUGUAGUUAUAGAGGAAAUGCUGAUGCAAUCCCACAUCCUCACAAAGGUGUGA